UCUGAAGCAGAAUAAGCACAAAGAUGACAACUGACUCAAGAUGCAGAACUUGGAAAUGUUUGGUUUUGGACUAUAGCUCCUAUUGUUCCCUUACCCCAUGGUCGGUGGCCCUGCUUGCUGAGGGCAUUUGGCGGUUACUGUCCCAAAAAAGAAUCUUCCUUCUCUGUUUAAGGUCCCUGAAAGACAAAUCUUAGAAUGAGAAGAGCUGGAGGAAGAAGAAGGAAAAAAAGAUAUUCUCCAAAGACCCACCUUGAGUGACAACACAAAUGUCUGAAAACUCACCAGCUAAUCACUGAUUUGGGUUUUAAAUACUGAGGGAAUUGGAAACUGAUGACCUGGCAACCUUGUUACCUCUUAUCCUACAAAUGAAAACAUUUCCACAAGCCCAAGAUUCUUUUUUUAUAUGUAGUUUUUAAAAAACUGAUGACACAAAAACAUGAAUAUAAUACAAUAAUACAAAAAAGUGGGACCAUCUGGCGAUAUAACCAAUUUUUCCUCCAUUACAGAGCUCCAUUCCUGCUCCAAAACUGCAUUGAUUCUUGUGAAGGUAGAAGCCCGACCCUUUUGAAAACACAAACUCAGUAAAUUCUCCCCAUAUAUUGACAGAGCUAUUCUUCUGUAGCAAUCCCCUUUUAAUGUUCAUAUUACAACUUAAUUUACCAUUAAUAGACAUAUUCCAAACUUCUUCAUACCAUUAAUU
rnacentral:lncRNA from 1 species